UGCCUCCUGGUGCUUACCACAGGCAGCGUUCUUAUACUGACUGCACAGAAAAAGGAGGAAGAAUAAACCGGCCCCACUUAGACCUCAGCCCAGGCCUGUACCUUGUCUGUACUGUGAAUGCAGAAACAUGG
rnacentral:snoRNA from 1 species